AUAGAGACUCAGAGCUGCAUAUCAAUAAGCGGAGGAAAAGAAACUAACAAGGAUUCCCUUAGUAACGGCGAGUGAAGCGGGAAGAGCUCAAAUUUGAAAUCUUCAAGGUUCUACCUUGACGAAUUGUAGUUUAUAGAAGUGUUUUCUGUUAGUAAGUUGGCUAAAAGUUCUUUGGAAUAGGACAUCAUAGAGGGUGAGAAUCCCGUAUUUGAUCCAUUCUUUCUAGCUUUGUGAUACACUUUCAACGAGUCGGAUUGUUUGGGAAUGCAGUCCAAAAUGGGUGGUAAAUUUCAUCUAAAGCUAAAUAUUGGCGAGAGACCGAUAGCGAACAAGUACCGUGAGGGAAAGAUGAAAAGAACUUUGAAAAGAGAGUUAAACAGUACGUGAAAUUGUCAAAAGGGAAGCGUUUGACACCAGUGUUGUUUUUCCGAAAAUCAAUUACGAAUGUUUUGUUUUUAGAGGAAGUUAUGACUUCAUCGGCUUGCUCCUUUCUUUACGAAACUUUCUUAAUGCACUUUUCGGUUAACAAGUCAACAUCAAUUUCUUUUGUUGUAAAAGGGUAUGAGGAAGGUGGCUUUCUUUUCGGAGAAAGUGUUUAUAGCCUUGUGCCUCUACAAUCGGAGAGAUUGAGGUCUGCAGCGUAGAUCCUUCGGGGUUAGAUACGUUUGUGCUAAGUUAUAGCUUUUCAUAGACAACUUGUUGACUAUGUUUAGUCUUGUAGCUUACUCGCUGACGCUAUUUUACCUACGCUUAGGAUGUUGAUAGUCACAGCGUGUAC
rnacentral:rRNA from 1 species